CUGUCCAACCAGUAGGGCCUGCGGGGAGCACGAGGCUAUCGUGCGUCAUUAUGAUCUCAGAUCCUGUCUUGGCUUCAGUUGCAUUGCGGGUCUGAAGAGAACGCCCACGCCAGGCCAGGCCAGGCCAGGCCAGAGGAGCACCGGUUAAAGUUCAGACCGGCUCUGGUCAAGUUCAGGCUGGUUCUGCUCAAAAAAAGACCUUCCCUUUCACGGAGGCUGAUUCAAACUGUCUUGCAAAGGACGCGGGCCAAGAAUCCAUGGGGUGGGGUGGGGGUGGGGGUGGGGGGCAGGACAGAAACAUUCUUUAACUCCAUGUUCCUUUUUUGGGGUAUGGGAUCUUUGUUGUCUUCUUUUUUUGGCAUGCGCUAUCCAGAGAAAAUCGUUUUACAAGAAGGGCCCGAGUUUUCUGUUUUUCUUGCUUCCUAUUUUGAUGUGUCAUCCUGGCUGCCUAGGAGGAAAUGCUGUCAAAAAUUGUACAUGCUGUUUCCAACCCUUUAUUUCUUAACUCGCUUAUUAUCAUCUCGUAUCUGGGAGAGAGGCCAGACCAGUCCUGUAGCCCGUGUCAGAGCCCAGAGCUGCUCCCUCCUUCCUGUCUUGGUGACUUUGCUGUGCCUGUGACAGCGCCCCCCCCCCCCUUCCCCCGCCGUGUGCAUCUGGUGUUCCUGCCUUGGCUUGAUACUCUGUCCACAACCUGUUCCCAGCUGUUUCCCAGCACAGCACCCUGAACAGCAUAGAUGCGUUUAACUGAACAGCAGUAGCUCUGUGAACUUAAAGAACAUUGAGCAGUCAGGAUCGUUGCAUUGCUACAUUGGCGCUCCUUUUUGUUAAUGCUUGUGAUCCCAUCGUAAUCUUACGGAGGACUUUCCUGUGUCUUUGGCUCUCCGAAUAACCUUGUGAAGGCGAUAGAGCAGAGUGACUCCUUGACCAAAUAAUUUUGAGUCGAUUGUAACUUUUCACCCUUGCAACUAAGUCCGUUAAUCACAAAAUGGUAAAUCAGAAACCACAAAGAAGAACAUCGUCCAGGAAACUGGGGGAUGCUAAGACGUGAAAGACGGAUAUGGCUGUUUCUGCUCCUAGCCUCAAAAAGAAAAGGUUGUAGCUCAUCUUUGCCAGCUUACCUGACUACUUCUAAGCAAAGGAGAUAAUGAAAUAUUAUUAGUUAGUGAGUUCAGUCACAUGAAGCGGAAUGCUCAAAUAACUGUGACUCCAGAAGAUGCGCUUUAUGGAUGGAAAAUUUCCAGGGAAACCAUUUCUCUUUAUCUGAAGGAUAUCCCGGCCCCUCAGGGGAAUUGGAUUACAUGUCAAAACACCCAGAGAUAUACAGAGCACUGAAGGAACAGCAAGUCUGGGAUGCCAAUUAGGAAGCCAAUUUUGUGCACCUUACAUGUAAGCUGCCCUUUCAACAUCCAGGCGGAGAUGUAAGCCUGCCAGUUGCAUAUAAAAGUCUGGCAUGGAAGGACAAAGUCAGGACUGAGAUAGAAAACCCAGGGUCAGCACACAGAUGAUUUUUAGCACCAUGAUGGUUCACCUAUGGAGUGAGUUACAGAAGAGAAGAGACGUAAGGCUUGAGAUCUAGGAAACUCUGAUGUUUAGACUCAGAAGGGAUGAGGAGGAACCAGCAAAGGAGUAUGAGAAGAGCAGCCAUUGAGCAGGAGAAGGAGAGAGUGGGGUCCAAUCAGCAGGGUGAAUUGUUUCUGGGAAGAGGGUGUCAUUAACUGUGUCAAAUGCUGCAGACAAGUAGGAUGACAUCAAGUAAGAUGUGGAGGUCAUCAUUGGCAUCGGUAAGAGUUGUCAGGUGGGAUGAUAGAAACGGAAGCUCAUUUGAACGCCCCAAGAAAGAAUGAGAGAGAACAAGCUGGAAACAGCAAGAUGGACAACUCUUUCUAUGAGCUUUGCUGGAAGAGGGAGCUGAGCAAUGGAGCAGUAUUUAGAGGGACAUAUGGAUUCAGGAGAGGUUUUUAAUUAUUUU